AUGGUGGUGGUGAUGAAGGCUCUGUGGAAACAUCAGUUUGCGUGGCCCUCCAGGCAGCCUGUGGAUGCCGUCAAACUGGGUCUGCCGGAUUAUCACAAGAUUAUAAAACAGCCUAUGGACAUGGGUACUAUUAAGAGGAGACUUGAAAACAACUAUUAUUGGGCUGCCUCAGAGUGUAUGCAGGAUUUCAACACUAUGUUUACCAAUUGUUAUAUCUACAACAAGCCCACUGAUGAUAUUGUCCUAAUGGCACAAACGUUGGAAAAGAUCUUCCUACAGAAAGUGGCAUCAAUGCCACAAGAGGAACAAGAGCUUGUGGUGACCAUCCCUAAGAAUAGCCACAAGAAGGGGGCCAAAUUGGCAGCACUCCAGGGCAGCAUCACCAGUGCCCAUCAGGUGCCUGCAGUUUCUUCUGUCUCAUACAGCCCUGUAUACUCCACCACCUGAGAUACCUACCACUGUCCUCAACAUUCCCCACCCGUCAGUCAUCUCUUCUCCCCUUCUCAAGUCCUUACGCUCUGCUGGACCCCCGCUCCUUGCUGUGUCUGCAGCUCCCCCAGCCCAGCCCCUUACGAAGAAAAAAGGCGUAAAGCGGAAAGCAGAUACUACCACACCUACCCCUAUGGCCAUCCUGGCUCCCGGUUCUGCAGCUAGCCCCCCGGGAGUCUUGAGCCCAAGGCAGCACGUCUUCCCCCUAUGCGUAGAGAGAGUGGCCGCCCAAUCAAGCCCCCACGCAAAGACUUGCCUGACUCUCAGCAACAACACCAGAGCUCCAAGAAAGGAAAGUUGUCAGAACAGUUAAAACAUUGCAAUGGCAUUUUGAAAGAGUUGCUCUCUAAGAAGCAUGCUGCCUAUGCCUGGCCUUUUUAUAAACCAGUGGACGCUUCUGCUCUUGGCCUGCAUGACUACCAUGACAUCAUUAAGCACCCCAUGGACCUCAGCACUGUCAAGGUACCCACUGCAUGGGGCAGAUGGGAUGCUCAGGCAGUGAUUGGAACUUUGGGUUCAAUAAAACGGAUCAGUCACUUUAAAAAAAAAAAAA